AUUUCGAUAGCUCAGUCGGAUAGAGCGGUCUUCUUCGGAAGACUUGUCGCGGGUUCGAUUCCCGCUCGAA
rnacentral:tRNA from 1 species